UACAGAGGGUGCGAGCGUUAAUCGGAAUUACUGGGCGUAAAGGGCGCGUAGGUGGUUUCACAAGUUGACUGUGAAAGACAGGGGCUUAACCUCUGGCUGUCAGUCAAAACUGUGAGACUCGAGUAGGGUAGAGGUGAGUGGAAUUUCCGGUGUAGCGGUGAAAUGCGUAGAUAUCGGGAAGAACACCCGUGGCGAAGGCGGCUCUCUGGGACGGUACUGACGCUGAGACGCGAAAGCGUGGGGAGCGAACAGG
rnacentral:rRNA from 1 species